rnacentral:rRNA from 1 species
CAGUCGCCACGGUAAUACGAAGGGGGCUAGCGUUGUUCGGAUUUACUGGGCGUAAAGCGCACGUAGGCGGAUCGAUCAGUCAGGGGUGAAAUCCCAGAGCUCAACUCUGGAACUGCCUUUGAUACUGUCGAUCUGGAGUAUGGAAGAGGUGAGUGGAAUUCCGAGUGUAGAGGUGAAAUUCGUAGAUAUUCGGAGGAACACCAGUGGCGAAGGCGGCUCACUGGUCCAUUACUGACGCUGAGGUGCGAAAGCGUGGGGAGCAAACAGGAUUAGAUACCCCUGUAGUCCCUGUCUCUUAUAU